rnacentral:snRNA from 1 species
ACCACUUCUCAAUAUUUUGAAUGAGAUCAAGUGUAGUAUCUGCUCUUACCAGUUUAGUGUCUAGUAAGUCCUCCAUCUAAGGACGGCAAAUUAAAUGGAGUUUUGGACCUGGGAGGAGGAAUAGGAGCUUGUUCUUUGACUUGGCAUUGCAGUAAGAAAACAAAACCCCAC